rnacentral:rRNA from 1 species
GACGAACGCUGGCGGCGUGCUUAAUACAUGCGAGUCGAGCGAUGAAGCUCGGUUUUUGCUCCGAUUUGAAGAGCAGCGAACGUGUGUGUAACGCGUGUGGACUCUGCCCUUGAUCGGGGUACAACAUGUGGAAACGAAUGCUAAUACCGCAUUACAACUUUUAACAUAAGUUUUAAGUUUGAAAGAUGCAAUUGCAUCACUCAAAGAUGAUCCCGUGUUGUAUUAGCUAGUUGGUGAGGUAAAGGCUCACCAAGGCGAUGAUACCUAGCCGACCUGAGAGGGUGGUGAGGCACACUGGGCAUGAGACACGGCACAAACGCCUCAGGGAGGCAGCAGAAGGGGAACUGCGGAAAAGGACGAAAGGCGGACCAGGCAAAGCCGGGUGAGUGAAGAAGGGUGUCGGGUCGUAAGAGUCGGUUGGUAGAGAAGAACGUUGGUGAGAGUGGAAAGCUCAUCAAGUGACGGUAACUGCCCAGAAAGGGACGGCUAACUACGUG